GCAUAUCAAUAAGCGGAGGAAAAGAAACCAACAGGGAUUGCCUUAGUAGCGGCGAGUGAAGCGGCAAAAGCUCAAAUUUGAAAUCUGGCACCUUCGGUGUCCGAGUUGUAAUUUGAAGAUUGUAACCUUGGGGUUGGCUCUUGUCUAUGUUUCUUGGAACAGGACGUCACAGAGGGUGAGAAUCCCGUGCGAUGAGAUGCCCAAUCCUAUGUAAGGUGCUUUCGAAGAGUCGAGUUGUUUGGGAAUGCAGCUCUAAGUGGGUGGUAAAUUCCAUCUAAAGCUAAAUAUUGGCGAGAGACCGAUAGCGAACAAGUACAGUGAUGGAAAGAUGAAAAGAACUUUGAAAAGAGAGUGAAAAAGUACGUGAAAUUGUUGAAAGGGAAGGGUUUGAGAUCAGACUCGAUAUUUUGUGAGCCUUGCCUUCGUGGCGGGGUGACCCGCAGCUUAUCGGGCCAGCAUCGGUUUGGGCGGUAGGAUAAUGGCGUAGGAAUGUGACUUUGCUUCGGUGAAGUGUUAUAGCCUGCGUUGAUGCUGCCUGCCUAGACCGAGGACUGCGAUUUUAUCAAGGAUGCUGGCAUAAUGAUCCCAAACCGC
rnacentral:rRNA from 1 species